rnacentral:rRNA from 1 species
GUGGGGAAUAUUGCUCAAUGGGGGAAACCCUGAUGCAGCGACGCCGCGUGAGUGAAGAAGUAUUUCGGUACGUAAAGCUCUAUCAGCAAGGAAGAAAAUGACGGUACUUGACUAAGAAGCCCCGGCUAACUACGUGCCAGCAGCCGCGGUAAUACGUAGGGGGCAAGCGUUAUCCGGAUUUACUGGGUGUAAAGGGAGCGUAGACGGUAUGGUAAGUCAGAUGUGAAAGCCCGGGGCUCAACCCCGGGACUGCAUUUGAAACUAUCAGACUAGAGUGCAGGAGAGGUAAGUGGAAUUCCUAGUGUAGCGGUGAAAUGCGUAGAUAUUAGGAGGAACACCAGUGGCGAAGGCGGCUUACUGGACUGUAACUGACGUUGAGGCUCGAAAGCGUGGGGAGCAAACAGGAUUAGAAACCCGUGUAGUCC